GGAGUGGUUCGGGUAAUCGCGUUAAUUUCAUUCAUUUUUGAAAUUACCGAGGAAAGUCCGGGCUGCGCAGGAUAGAAUGCCGGAUAACGUCCGGUGAAGGUGACUUCAGGAAAGUGCCACAGAAACAAACCGCCUCGAUCAAGUAUCGCGGUAAGGGUGAAAAGGUGCGGUAAGAGCGCACCGCCUGAGCUGGUAACAGUUCAGGGCUAGGUAAACCCCAUUCGCAGCAAGACCAAAUAGGGGAACAUCAAAACGUGAUCCGCGUCGUUUCCGGGUAGGUUGCUUGAGCCUGCAAGCAAUUUCAGGCCUAGAUGAAUGAUUACCACUCUUGCAAAAGAGAACAGAACCCGGCUUACAGAACCACUCCACUU
rnacentral:RNase_P_RNA from 5 species